ensembl:lncRNA
CCGCCCAGCCCCGCCCGCGCAGAAACCGGAGCGAAACAGCUGCGGAUCUCCCUCUCCUCCCCAGGCUCCGGGCAACCUAGGCGAGGGGCGCCUAAGAUGGAGAGGAGGUUCGACCGUCUUCCCGGAGCAGAUAGGACCCGCGCGCCAGCCAAUCAGAGCGCGGCUCGGCCGCUCCCCGCCUCAGCCGCAGCCGCAGCCGCAGCCUCCGGGCAAGUGAAGUUCCAGCAACUCGCCCGCCCGAAGAGUCCGAGUCUUUCUUGUGCCCACAGCCCCGCGGAGGCAGAGAGCGCCAUCCAAACUUUAUUAAUCUCUCCCCGUUCUUUCUCCCUCAGUCCAGUGCAUCUCAAAGGUUCAACACCUGGGGAAGGUGCUGCCUGGGCUGACGAGAGAUGGGCCACGCCGAACCGCAGGAGAAGGUGAAGGACCUCAGACCUCAGCCGCCCCCAACCCUAACUCCUCCGCAAAGCCCCUGCCGAGUCAGCCCCAACUGAGAAAAGAGACUACCCGGUCGAGGAGGGAACACAUGGGAGGAGAUGAUCGCUGGGCUCUAGAAGAUUCCUCAAGGAAGUGAGGGAUCCGGCAGCGGGGGAGGGUCUCGAAAGUCCCCCCACCCAGACUUGGGGACCCCUCUUUCUGCAGCUGGAGGAGUCACAUUCGAAAGAGGGGUCUCUGAAAUUGGGACCAGCCUCUCCCCGACGAUUUUAACCCCUGCAAACCCACUAUGAUUUUGGGCAGCCUGAAACUUAAGAAAAUUAUUAAAUCACGAUUAUCACAGGUCUUUGGAAGAGGGGUCGGUGCCAGCGAGAGACUGUGAAACAAAAGGUCCUUUGCCUUCCUCUUCCCGGGAAAUCUGCCUCUGAUAGACCCUCAGGACUACCCGGGAGCUCGUUCUCAGCUCCAGGUGAGGCGAGAGCCUGGGGCAGAAGUGAGGCCCUUAGCUAAAGGCCCCAUCCCCUGCUCAGCCCCCCGCCGCUUCUCCCGCCUCCAGCCGAGGGGGCGGGCGGGACAAAGGCGCCAACGGCUUUGCCCCAGUCCAAAGCUUCCUUGCGUUUCUAGAUCCCAACUUGCUGUUGCUCCUUUUCGGGGACUCGGUUUUCUCCUGCAAACCUAGACUCGAGUAAGUAGUUAGAGCGGCUGAUGAAUAUGUAUUCGAACAGGCUG